AUGAGACGACUCUUUCUUGAACAAUUUCAUAAGCAGAUCUUCCCCUCCACACCAAUCACGUUUUUUUUAUUCCUCUCGUAUAUCGUCGUCACGCCCUUAAUGAUAGGUUUUGAAAAAGAUUUUUCAUGUCAUUCCCAUUUAGGUUCGAUUCGGAUCCCUCUGUUGUUUCCCUUUCCUCCCGAACCUUUUCCUCGAAAUGAUAAAGAAUCUGGUACACUCGAAUUGUAUUAUUUAAGUGAUUAUUGCUUGCCAAAAAUCCUACUUCUACAAUUGGUAGGUCACCGGGUUAUUCAAAUAAGUCGUGUUUUCUGUGUUUUUCCCAUGUUACAACUUCCGUACCAAUUCGAUCGAUCCGGAAUGGAUCGGUUAAACAUUCUAUUAGGGAGCCCGGUCUUGACUCUUCUGUGUGGUAUUCAUUCUCGUUCGGCUCUUGGAAUCACAUCCAGCAGUGGUUGGAACAGCUCGCAAAAUCCAACCACUUCACCUACUUUAUUGCCAACCAUUUCCCGUACCUCUAUAGAAACAGAAGGGUUUCAUGUUCUUUCAUCGAUUGGGUAUUCCUCUCCUUUUGUAUCUCUUUAUCCAAUUUCGGUCUCGAUUAGUUCACAAGAUUGA
rnacentral:rRNA from 1 species